AGUCGGUGAUGACAAAUCAAUUAAUUUUUCUGACACCUACUAUGACAGCUGGACUCCAGUUUGUGAUUCGAGUUUUUGCCCUGAGGCUU